rnacentral:tRNA from 1 species
CGGGGUGUAGCCCAAACAGAAAAGCGUUUCCCUUACACUGAGAAGAUGCCCGUGCAAAUCGGGUCACCCUGA